rnacentral:rRNA from 1 species
AAUGAACGCUGGCGACAGGCCUAACACAUGCAAGUCGAGCGAGCGGCGGAAGGGUGAGAAAUGCCUGGGAAUUGCACAGACGAGGGGGAUAACAGUUAGAAACGAAUGCUAAUAGCGCAUAGGAUAGGAUAGAUAAGGUGGGAGUAGCUAGUUGGUGAGGUAAUGGCUCACCAAGCAGAAGAUCCCUAGCGGGUCUGAGAGGAUGAUCAGCCACACUGGAACUUAGACCCGGUCCAGACUCCUACGGGAGGCAGCCGUUGGAAAUAUUCCACAAUGGGCGAAACCCUGAUGCAGCCAUGCCGCGUGUGUGAAGAAGGCCUUCGGGUUUUAAAGCACUUUCAGCGAGGAGUCGGUACUCGCAGAUGAAGCACCGGCUAACUCCGUGCCAGCAGCCGCGGUAAUAC